rnacentral:rRNA from 1 species
UGGCAUUAGAGUUUGAUCCUGGCUCAGGACGAACGCUGGCGGCGUGCCUAAUACAUGCAAGUCGGGCGGACGAUUAAAAGCUUGCUUUUGAUCGUCAGCGGCGAACGGGUGAGUAACACGUGGGCAACCUGCCUGUAAGACCGGGAUAACUUGCGGAAACGUGAGCUAAUACCGGAUAAUCUCCUUUUUCGCAUGAAGAAGGACUGAAAGACGGCGCAAGCUGUCACUUACAGAUGGGCCCGCGGCGCAUUAGCUGGUUGGUGAGGUAACGGCUCACCAAGGCGACGAUGCGUAGCCGACCUGAGAGGGUGAUCGGCCACACUGGGACUGAGACACGGCCCAGACUCCUACGGGAGGCAGCAGUAGGGAAUCUUCCGCAAUGGACGCAAGUCUGACGGAGCAACGCCGCGUGAGCGAUGAAGGCCUUCGG